GUUGAACGCUGGCGGAAUGCUUUACACAUGCAAGUCGAACGGUAGAGGGGGCAACCCCCUUGAGAGUGGCGAACGGGUGAGUAAUAUAUCGGAACGUGCCCAGUCGUGGGGAUAACGUAGCGAAAGUUACGCUAAUACCGCAUACGAGCUAAGGAUGAAAGCGGGGGGAUCGCAAGACCUCGCGCGAUUGGAGCGGCCGAUAUCAGAUUAGGUAGUUGGUGAGGUAAAGGCUCACCAAGCCAACGAUCUGUAGCUGGUCUGAGAGGACGACCAGCCACACUGGAACUGAGACACGGUCCAGACUCCUACGGGAGGCAGCAGUGGGGAAUUUUGGACAAUGGACGCAAGUCUGAUCCAGCCAUUCCGCGUGCAGGAUGAAGGCCCUCGGGUUGUAAACUGCUUUUGUACGGAACGAAAAGGUUUGUCUUAAUACGAUGAGCUCAUGACGGUACCGUAAGAAUAAGCAACCGGCUAACUACGUGCCAGCAGCCGCGGUAA
rnacentral:rRNA from 1 species